rnacentral:rRNA from 1 species
CGUUAACGAACGAGACCUCGACCUGCUAAAUAGUUCGGCGAAUCCUUGGAUUCGUACGGACUUCUUAGAGGGACUAACAGCGUUUAGCUGUUGGAAGUUUGAGGCAAUAACAGGUCUGUGAUGCCCUUAGAUGUUCUGGGCUGCACGCGCGCUACACUGAUGAAGGCAACAAGUAAUCAACCUUGGCCGGAAGGUCUGGGUAAUCUUUUGAAACUUUAUCGUGCUGGGGAUAGAGCAUUGCAAUUAUCGCUCUUCAACGAGGAAUCCCUAGUAAGCGUAAGUCAUCAGCUUGCGUUGAUUACGUCCCUGCCCUUUGUACACACCGCCCGUCGCUACUACCGAUUGAAUGGCU